rnacentral:rRNA from 1 species
UACGGAGGGUGCAAGCGUUAUCCGGAUUCACUGGGUUUAAAGGGUGCGUAGGCGGACAGGUAAGUCAGUGGUGAAAUCUCUGGGCUUAACUCAGAAACUGCCGUUGAUACUAUUUGUCUUGAAUAUCUUGGAGGUAAGCGGAAUAUGUCAUGUAGCGGUGAAAUGCUUAGAUAUGACAUAGAACACCAAUUGCGAAGGCAGCUCGCUACACAUAUAUUGACUCUGAGGCACGAAAGCGUGGGGAUCAAACAGG